rnacentral:rRNA from 1 species
AUUGAACGCUGGCGGCAGGCCUAACACAUGCAAGUCGAACGAGUGGCGGACGGGUGAGUAAUGUCUGGGAAACUGCCUGAUGGAGGGGGAUAACUCCUGGAAACGGUAGCUAAUACCGCAUACCAUCGGAUGUGCCCAGAUGGGGUUAGCUAGUAGGUGGGGUAAAGGCUCACCUAGGCGACGAUCCCUAGCUGGUCUGAGAGGAUGACCAGCAACACUGUGACUGAGACACGGUCCAGACUCCUACGGGAGGCAGCAGUGGGGAAGAUUGCACACUGGGCGAAAGCCGGAUGCAGCCAUGCGGCGUGUAUGAAGAAGGCCUUCGGGUUGUAAAGUACUUUCAGCGGGGAGGCGUUACCCGCAGAAGAAGCACCGGCUAACUACGUGCCAGCAGCCGCGGUAAUAC